UGAGCUUGCAGCAUGCAUUGUGCACUGCGUAAGAAGCGGGAGAGGUAGCGAAUUGGAUAGUUGAAUGUUACUUUGAUCGAUGUUUGCUUCCUGUUUGUGUUUUUCUAGAACUUUUUAAGAAAUUUCGUUUAUCUUACGUUUGGCCACGUCUUGUAUGUCCGUACAAGCCGACAACAAUUUUUUAAACUAUGUGAUGGAUUAAUGUUUUAGAUUUUGUAUUGGAAUGUUACAUGACAUUCUUUAAACCACAUGGCAGACCAAGGUAAUGCAGAUUACUAUGCACUUUGUACAAAUGACCAAAAUAAGACAGGUCUAAAUGAAAGGCUAAUAGAAAGGAGCAUAUCUCAAUCAUUAUGUGACCUAAAUAGUAGCAAUAAUAGUGUUACAGUUGAAAAUGCAGCAUCUGUUUCUCCAUUAUUAAGUCACUAUAAAUAUCAUCGUUUCUCACAUCAUGAUAAUCCAGUUAAUUUUUCAUCUUUACCAACGUAUCUUCCACCCAUUGGUGUAUUUUGGGAUAUAGAAAAUUGUCAUGUACCAAAAGGAAGGUCUGCCAUGGCUGCAACCCAAGUAAUUAGAGAAAAAUUUUUUGGUGGUUAUAGGGAAGCAGAAUUUAUUGUAGUUUGUGAUGUCUUAAGAGAAAAUAAUCGGGUUAUGAAAGAAUUGAAUAAUGCUCAGGUUAAUUUAAUGCAUGUUGCUAGAGAGUGUUAAAAUGCUCCUGAUGAAAAACUCAAUCUAUUAGAAGAUUUGCUGAUAUACAUGGAAGCCCAGCAGUUGUGAUUUUAAUAUCUAUCUUAGUUCGAAAAUUUCCGUAAAAUUUCAAAAAGAGAAAACAAGUUACUUUCAGCAAAUUCAAGCAAAUAAAAACGGUACUGUAAUUGAUUCAAAAAUUGUUAUCAGUUCUCCAAGGCAAAUGUACAGUGCAAGUGCUUCGUUACCGGGUGUAUAACACGUUUGUAUACAGCACAACACAAUAUGACAAGAAAAUGCUCAAAUUUACUUUAUUAAGGGCAAUAAAUUUUUACAGAAUGUUUACGCUAUACUGCUGGCGUUGGAUGCUAUCCUUGGCCACAAAUCUGCACAUUCUUUUGCGACGGGUCCUGUGAUAGCUGACCCUUUCAUUUCUCCCUUGUUAUUGACAAUGACCCCUGCAUUGUCUUCAAAAUAUAUAAAAACUCCGUCUUUCCUCCUAAAUGGUUUUCGUUGCCGUAUUAUGACUGCAGGCAUAACUACAAAAAAGCAAUUUAAAAACGUUAUCAAUAUUGUUACUUGUCCCUAUUUAAUCAUACAAAUUAUAUACUUUCUCUUAAUCAUCGCAAAAAAAGUAUAAAAUGACUGUAUUUGUAUCUCUUGAUAAUUGUAUAAAUUAAUUAAUAAUUAAAUAAUAAAGGACAAGAAUUCUAUAUAAUUAA